rnacentral:rRNA from 1 species
GACGAACGCUGGCGGCGUGCUUAACACAUGCAAGUCGAACGGAAAGGCCCUGCUUUUGUGGGGUGCUCGAGUGGCGAACGGGUGAGUAACACGUGAGUAACCUGCCCCUGACUUUGGGAUAACUUCAGGAAACUGGGGCUAAUACCGGAUAGGAGCUCCUGCUGCAUGGUGGGGGUUGGAAAGUUUCGGCGGUUGGGGAUGGACUCGCGGCUUAUCAGCUUGUUGGUGAGGUAGUGGCUUACCAAGGCUUUGACGGCUAGCCGGCCUGAGAGGGUGACCGGCGACAUUGGGACUGAGAUACGGCCCAGACUCCAACGGGAGGCAGCAGUGGGAAAUAUUGCACAAUGGGCGGGAGCCUGAUGCAGCAGCGCCGCGUGCGGGAUGACGGCCUUCGGGUUGUAAACCGCUUUCGCCUGUGACGAAGCGUGAGUGACGGUAAUGGGUAAAGAAGCACCGGCUAACUACGUG